rnacentral:piRNA from 1 species
UACUUGGUGAAGCAAUAUGAUAUUGGGGU